rnacentral:lncRNA from 10 species
CUGAGACUGGAAACAAAAAGGGUUUAAUUGGACUUACAGUUCCACAUGGCUGGGGAGGCCUCAAAAUCAGGUGGGAGGCAAAAGGUACUUCUUACGUGGUGGCAUCAAGAGCAAAAUGAGGAAGAAGCAAAAGCAGAAACUCUUCAUAAACCCACCAGAUCUUGUGGGACUUAUUAUCACGAGAAUAGCACAGAAAAGACUGGCCUCCAUGAUUCAAUUACCUCCCACUGCGUCCCUCCCACAACAUGUGGGAAUUCUGGGAGAUACAAUUCAAGUUGAGAUUUGGGUGGGGACACAGCCAAACCAUAUCAUUCCUCCCUGGGCUCCUCCAAAUUUCAUAAUCCUCACAUUUCAAAACCAAUCAUUCCUUCCCAACAGUUCCCCAAAGUCUUAACUCAUUUCAGCAUUAACCCAAAAGUCCACAGUCCAAAGUCUCAUCUGAGACAAGGCAAGUCCCUUCCACUUACAAGCCUGUAAAAGCAAGCUAGUUACCUCCUAGAUACAAUGGGGGGUACAGGUAUUGGGUAAAUACAGCUGUUCCAAAUGAGAGAAAUUGGCCAAAACAAAGGGGUUACAGGGUCCAUGCAAGUCUGAAAUCCAGUGGGGCAGUCAAAUUUUAAAGCUCCAUAAUGAUCUCCUUUGACUCCAUGUCUCACAUUCAGGUCAUGCUGAUGCAAGAGAUAGGUUCCCAUGGUCUUGUGCAGCUCCGCCCCUGUGGCUUUGCAGAGUACAGCCUCCCUCCUGGCUGCUUUCUCAGGCUGAUGUUGAGUGUCUGUAGCUUUUCCAGGCACAAGAUGCAAGUUGGUGGUUGAUCUACCAUUCUGGGGUCUACCAUUCUGGGGUCUACCGUUCUGGGACUGUGGCCUUCUUCUCACAGCUCCACUAGGAGAGGUUCCCCAUGAGGGCUCUGCCCCUGCAGCAAACUUUUGCCUGGACAUCCAGGUGUUUCCAUAUAUAUUCUGAAAUCUAGGCAGAGGUUCCCAAAUCUCAAUUCUUGACAUCUCUGCACCCACAGGCUCAACAUCACAUGGAAGCUGCCAAUGCUUGGGGCCUCUACCCUCUGAAGCCACAGCCCAAGCUCUAUGUUGGCUCCUUUCAGCCAUGGCUGGAGCAGCUGGGACACAGGGCACCAAGUCCCUAGGCUGCACACAGCACAGAGACCCUGGGCCCAGCCCACAAAACCACUUUUUCCUCCUGGGCCUCUGGGCCUGUGAUGGGAGGGGCUGCCAUGAAGGUCUCUGACAUGACCUGGAGACAUUUUCCCCAUGGUCUUGGGGAUUAACAUUAGGCUCCUUGCUGCUUAUGCAAAUUUCUGCAGCCAGCUUGAAUUUCUCCUUAAAAAAAAUGGGUUUUUCUUUUCUACUGCAUCAUCAGGCUGCAGAUUUUCCACAUUUAUGCUCUUGUUUCCCUUUUAAAACAGAAUGUUUUUAACAGCACCCAAGUCACCUUUUGAAUGCUUUGCUGCUUAGAAAUUUAUUCCACCAGAUACCCUAAGUCAUCUCUCUCAAGCUCUAAGUUCCACAAAUCUCUAGGGCAAGGGUGAAAUGCUGCCAGUCUCCUUGCUAAAACAUAACAAGGGUCACCUUUACUUCAGUUCCCAACAAGGUCUUCAUCUCCAUCUGAGACCACCUCAGCCUGGACCUUAUUGUUCAUAUCACUAUCAGUAUUUUUGUCAAUGCCAUUCACAGUCUCUAGGAGGUUCCAAACUUUCCUACAUUUUCCUAUCUUCUUCUGAGCCCUCCAGAUUAUU